rnacentral:lncRNA from 1 species
UUGGAUAAUCAAAAUGAUCGUUACGCCUUUGUGCUAAUUAACGAUCACAAUCACACUAAUAAAGAAGACAUUUCACAUGGAAUAAUUACUUCUUUAGCCACAUGGUACCCUUUUCACCUAGGCCACUACAACAAAACAUCCAAACUAAAACAAAAGCAUAACUUAGCUAGCUAGUUACAAAGCUCACGGGCAAUACCAACCUUAUUAUUCACGGUAUCAAACAAAACCCUCAAAUUCUGUUGUUGAUAAUUAGCAAUCACAUUCAACACAGUGUAGUUCACAUUCUUUGGUGUAGACGCCAUUGCAAGACAAGCCAAUGAUCCUGAACUGCUAUGGAUCAAACUAUUCUCCAAUGGUAAUUUUAGAUCCAAAUCUGUGAAAUGCAAUGUAAUAGCUGGUGCCAAAGUUUCAUAGUUCUUCACAAAACAUGUGUCAAAUGCUCCUAAGCUCGAAAAAGGUCCGGUUACUUGUUUUCUAAACUCAUCCCUAACCGCGUUGUAAACGGGUUCCACAAAACGGGUAAUAACUGUACCCGAAUCAAUUAUGGUUCCGGAUCCGGUAUUCACGUCGAACGCUAAAAGUUCUUUGGGGAAAGGUACAUUUACUUUUCCCACGGUAAUUCCGGUUAAAUUGACAAAAUAA